rfam:Xenopus tropicalis strain Nigerian Chr06_contig_2320, whole genome shotgun sequence.
UUUAUAUCUUUAGCAGUGACUAAAAUAUAAG